ACGAGAGGUCCAAGCGUUAGUCGGAAUCACUGGGCUUAAAGGGUGCGUAGGCGGGCCUGUAAGUGCUUUGUGAAAUCCCAUGGCUCAACCAUGGAAUCGCAGGGCAUACUGCGGGCCUUGAGGAAUCUAGAGGCCGGUGGAACGAUAGGUGGAGCGGUGGAAUGCGUAGAUAUCUAUCGGAACGCCAAAGGUGAAGACAGCCGGCUGGGGAUUUCCUGACGCUGAGGCACGAAAGCGUGGGGAUCAAACA
rnacentral:rRNA from 1 species